rnacentral:misc_RNA from 1 species
UUCGGAGGAAAAAAUGGUUUUAUUAUGUAAAAAGAAUUUACUUUAAAAUAUGUAUAAAAUAAGAUAAAGGGGGUUCAUUUGCAAUAUAUAGAAAUGUUUGAGACUUAAUUUACAAUUUUGUUCUGUUUUGAAAUAUUAUUUUGAUUUUUAUUUGAUUAUUUUCGUUUAUUGUUAAACUUCCGGAAUUGAAAAGAUAUAUACUAAUAUAUAUUAAGUAAAAAAGAGCUGUGAUUUUAAAAUGAUUAAUUGAUUAAUAUUUCCCAUCGGGAUUCACACAUUAAUAAACAUCCUUGAUUGAUUAUACAAAUUGUGAUUUUUAAGCGUUAAUAAAGAAUGAAUUGAAACACGUAGUAAGGCAAUUUUUUUAAUAAAUUCGCGGAUUUUCAGAGAAUAUGGGUCGCAAGCAGCAUCAGGCAGAUAAGCUCUGGCUGACUACGCAGGAGUGGAAAUAUUUUUUUGGCGGGAAAAAGCCAGGCAGGAAGGCGGAUCCUGAUGAGGUUGAUUUCAAACGUCUACCGUUUGAUCAUUGUGCACUGAGUUUACAACGGUUUGAGAAUCCAUACAGUGAUGAGGAUGGUAAUGUGUUUGAUCUGGUUCAUAUUAUCCCGUACUUGAAGAAAUUCAAAGCCAAUCCCGUCACAGGCAAACCACUCGACUCAAAAGGCCUGAUUAAACUCAACUAUCAGAAGAACGCUGCAGGAGAAUAUCAUUGCCCAGUUAUGUACAAGGUAUUUAAUCCAAGCACACAUAUUGCUUGCAUAAAAACCACCGGAAAUGUGUUCUGCUACGAGGCUGUUGAAGAACUCAAUAUCAAAACAAAGAAUUUCAAAGAUCUGAUAAAUGAUGAACCAUUCGUUAAAUCAGAUAUUAUCAUUCUGCAGGAUCCUAGAAACAUGACCAAGUUCAACCUGUCCAGUUUCCAUCACGUGAAACACAGUUUAAAGGUGGAUGAUGAUGAGUUAGAGCGCGCUAAAACUGACCCACGCGCGCGGAUGAAGAAGGUCAAUCAUGAAACCAGGGACACCCUGAAUGAACUGGAGAGGACCUACAAGGCCCCUGAAACAGUAGUAUCUGAGAAGGUUAAAGCUGACAUCUUCAAUUCAGCUCAUUACUCAACAGGAUUGAGAGGCGCUAGUUUAACCAGUACUGCAUAUGAUCGAGUCACUGAAACUGAGGCAGCUAUUCUAGAUGAAGAUAUUGUUAAGUACAGACUCGUAAAUAAGAAAGGCUAUGUUAGGAUCAAUACAAACCUAGGACCUCUGAACCUUGAACUGUACUGUGACACUGUACCUAAAACCUGUGAAAACUUCCUGAAACUCUGCGCCAAGGGAUAUUACAACAACACAAUAUUCCAUAGAUCUAUUCGCCACUUCAUGUUACAAGGCGGAGAUCCUACAGGAACUGGUUCAGGCGGAGACUCUCAUUUCGGCGGAACAUUCAAGGAUGAGAUAAAGCCUCAGUAUCAUCAUACAGGACGAGGUGUUCUAUCCAUGGCUAACUCAGGACCAGACUCUAACAAGUCGCAGUUCUUCAUUACCUACAGAUCCUGCAAACAUUUGGAUGGAAAACACACAAUUUUUGGCAAACUUGUGGGAGGUAUGGAUACGUUGACCACUAUUGAAGCUAUUGGAACUGAUAACAAGGAUAAACCUGUGGAGGAUAUCAAGAUCGAACGGGUAGCCGUCUUCGUCGAUCCUUUCCAAGAGGCCGAAGAUCAACUUAAGGAGAUGAGAGAAAAAGAGAUUGAGAAGCUAAAUCUGGAGAAGAACCCUGUAAACAAGGAUAAAACCGAGGAGAGGAAGGUGUUUGGGUCCGGAGUUGGGAAGUAUAUUAACCCUAGUGUGAAGAAGGAAGCAAGAAAAGCUGAGGAGCAGGCCCCGCCAGUAUUCAAGAAACCGAAAACGACUGGAGGAUUCGGGGAUUUCAGUGCAUGGUGAAAACCAGGAAGACAGGCUGCUGUGGCUCAGAGUGAAGAUUACGGACUCCGAGGCUCACGAGUCACACAAAGUCGCUCGUUUUCUAAUAAUAAAGUUAUUCCGUAAAAAAGUUUCAAAAUUAGUUUUAUUUUUUUUUUUGAAAUCUUAUAUUUUGAACACCUUUCCUUGUUUACAGGGACUUCCCUUUGAUGUAAAAAACGUGCAAAAUUUUUUUCUCUAAAAAUCGUAAAAUAAUAUGUUCUUUUAUGCCGCCUCUGUCGAAUGAAAAAGAAAAGACGAUAUCUUAAGUUACUUUCUGAAGAAGAAAAAAAGGAAAUUUAAUUAGUUUGUUCCUAAACGGUUCUGGAUGAGUUUCAAUAUUAAAAUCAGCUUUUAAAAUUAGAUCAAUAUAUAAAAUUUGAUGUA